CACAAUGGGACUGAGACACGGCCCAUACUCCUACGGGAGGCAGCAGUGGGGAAUUUUACGCAAUGGGCGAAAGCCUGACGUAGCGACACCGCGUGAGCGAAGAAGCCCUUUGGGGUGUAAAGCUCUGUCGGCAGGGACGAAUAAAUGACGGUACCUGCAAAGGAAGCAUCGGCUAACUACGUGCCAGCCGCCGCAGUAACAC
rnacentral:rRNA from 1 species